AGUUGUCCUAAGUGUUUUCUUUUUGAUGUAUUAUUCAUCAUAUUGGUGGAUAAGUCUGAUUUUUCAUCAACGAACAUUUUUAUCAAUUCUCAUUGCGGUUACAUUACUAUUUCAAUGAGCACCAGUUUUAACCAAAAGACAAACUUCAUUUUUUAUGUGUACGGACUCAAGACAAUCAAUUCAAGUACGGGUCAAUAUGACUCGGUGGUAUGUUAUGGAAAUAAAGAAAUCGAGUGUAAGUUAUUUUCAACCUCGUGUAUUACUAUUCGUAUAAAGAAUUGCGUUUAAACGUAGGUAUUGGUUUUAAAUAAAUAUAGUCUUCUACUUAUUCAUAUGUAGUUUCAGUUUGCGCAAAAAAGUUAUAAUGCAAUUUGAAAUAAACACAAUGAGAAAGGAUUUUGAAAUAUAAUGUUAUUAAUUAAUUACGUCGUCUUUUGAACAAUCAAACUACCCUUCAUCGUCUUAAAGUGCAUCCUGUUUAGUUAGACCAAGAUACAUAAACUUUUUUUAAUACUUAUUAAUUUUUUUUUAUACUUAUUCAUCUGUAAACAGUAAAAUCUCUUGAUUGAUUUGUGACAGUAGAACAGCGGUAUACAACUGUUUCCUUUAAUAAGAUAAAAUUGAAAAUAAACCCAAAAAAAAGAUUUCAUGAUACAAACCUUAUGCAUUGUUGUCUUUUACAGAUUCAGAAGAGAUUCAGACAAAUAUGCUUUUGAAAGAAAUUGAAGAAGACAUACAAUUGCCUGUGUUGUCAAAAGUAACUCAGGUGAUAAUUUAUCAAUAGACAUUUAAAAAAAGAGGGACGAAAGAUACCAGAGGGACAGUCAAACUCAUAAAUCGAAAAUAAACUGACAACGCCAUGGCUAAAAAUGAAAAGGACAAACAGACAAACAACAGAAAACAUGACACAACAUAGAAAACUAAAGAAUAAACAACACGAACCCAAUAUAUCUUGUAUUCUAUUGAUUGUAUAACAGCUUAUGAAAUAAUAAGGCCAAAUAUAGGGAUUUGUUAUCAGUCAUUUAAGAAAGUGUUAACUUGAUAUCUUGUUACAAGUUUUGAUCUAAAGUGUAAUUAUUUUUUUUUUUUUACUUUUAUGGGAUUGAGUGUUUGUUCUUUUGGGGUUUUAUCGUUUGAGCUUUUAUCGUAGGAUUUUCCUUGUACAUUGAAUGUUUGAUAUAAAUAAAAAAAGUGGGAAAUAUGACUGAUUGAUGAUUGGUUCAUCCUUUGUUUGGUCAAAUAUAAAAGAAGAAGAUGUGGUAUGAUUGCCAAUGAGACAACUCUCCACAAGAGACGAAAAUGACACAGAAAUUAAAAGUGGCAAUAACUUCAUGUAUUUUCUAGACGUAAACAAGUAAAUAUUUAUAAGAAGCUUUAAUUUCUUCUGAAAAGAUCUGAUAAGUUCUUAUGAAGAAAGUUAUUAUGUGUACGUAUGAAAAAAAAAUUAUUUUUUUAAGUGAAAAACUUUCACAGGAUAUAAAAACAGUAUAACAGAAGUAAACAAAAAAGUAGGGUGUCAAGUAGGAAAAAAGAAUAUAAUAGUUCAUGCUAAAUUCACAAAUAAAUUACUAAUUGAGAGACAUGUAUGUGUAGAUUUGAUUAUAAGACAAGCAUCAUAUAUUUUGUUUGAUUGCAGGGUACAUUGCCAUUAUCUGUUCAUCGCCAACCUCCGUCGCUUUACAGAUUAGAUGUUAAUAUCAUGUUCACAGAUGAAAAGUAUUUUAUCGUCUUUGUCAAAUUUAAGAAUCAGCUCCGCUGUUACAAUAUCAGUGGUCGGUGUUUAAACAAGCCGUUUCCCUUUGAGAUGCCAUCUGCAACUUCUGUUCAAUGUAAGGUUUUGUGUGCAUGUCGACAGCAGCAGAUAGAUGGAAGAAUUUUUGUUACGACUACUGUAUCGCAUAGCCAUGUAAUACGUUUUAAAACGUGUACGUAUUUCUAUGUUGUUUUGAAAAUAAUGACAAGCAAAGACAACCAUCAACAAACGAAGAAAAAUACAAACAAGAAACGUUAAUAAAACACAAAAUACAAAAGUUUUUUUUUCAGGACUGAGAUUUUGCGUAUUUAUUAUUAAGAAAAAGAAAACAUAAAUGAUAAAUGAUCACCUUUAACUGUUAAAACUUCAGAAAACUAAAAAAAACGUUUUAGGACAAAUUUGUUUUAAAAACUUCAUUAUUAUUUCAAAUGAAAUUAUUUGAAGAAAAUAAAAUAUCCGGUACAUUUUGACAUGAUAAAUUAGAUACUAGUAAUUAGAAUUUGAAUAGUUAGCAAACUAUUAUUUCAGUAAUUGAAUUUCAGCAAAACAUUUUUUUUAUUUUCAGUUUUGUCCCAGAUGGAUACGUAUCGAUUAUAUAAUCAAGCUAUAGCUUUUGGGACAAGGAAAUGUAUUCCUAGUAUGCGACCUAUCCAAUUCUUUUAUAGGAAUAAAUCAGUGGAGUAUUUUCAUGUAAUCAUGAAAUAUAUAAAUGGAGUAAUGCUUCCAUAUCUGAAAAGCAAUGGUGGAGAACAGGGUUCGGUUGUUAAUGGACGGUUAUCUGGUUUAUUUUUCAGUUCAUAUAUUGAUACAACGACGAACAACCCAAGUCCCUGCUCUUACUAUGGACCAAUCAGAUUGUAUCUCAAAUCUUUGAUAAUGUUCAAUCCUCAGUGUAAUUUGUAUUUUGCCGACUUUUACUGUCAUUAUAAACGUCAUCAUGUGACAAUCAUUCUGGUGCCAAAAACAUCAGCUUGUAACAACUUUUGUCGACAGUAUUUGAAAGAAUUAAACAUUUUUCAUAAUCCAUAUUUGUGUUUACGAGUAGAAUGUAAUGGUGCAUUCACUGUUUUUGCAAAUAUGGAUGUCACUGUUGAAGUGUUUUAUACUGAAAUCAUUAAUGUGAAAAGAGCUUUAGAGUUGAAGUAUGGAUAUAUAGAAGAAACACCAACUAUUGGGAAAGGGUUUGCUAAGCCUUCUGGUACUCCUAAAAACCCUGAUUGUAACAUCUGUAACUUAAAAUAGUCAUAUAAUUUUCUUUUAUUAUCUUCUGCAUGCUUAGGUUGUGCGUACGCUUGGAUGGCUGUCAAUCGGUUUGCUUAAGUUAUGGGCAUGUAACAAAUUAAAUAUUACAGUCUUGCUAGCAUUGUGAAAAGAGCUGUAAUUGAAUUUCCAUAUGUGAUUGUUCAAAAGUGGUUUUUUUUAUAUAAAGCAUCCAUUCAUACAUAUAUAUGAAGUUGAAUAUACGCAUUUAAUAAUAAAAUUUGGCGAUUCAGCUUCUCAAACAGAACAAAUGUCAUUGAUGGAAUAUACUCAAUAUCUUAUUUUCUUUUAACUAAACAUGUUGUAUUUUCAAAGUCUGAAAUAAGUUCAUACAAUAAUGACGUUUUAUGAAAUAUAUACUACGUAUAAGUUUAAAUUACAUAUCUUAAAAAAAUAAUAUGAAUUCCUCAAUGUACUCGUGUGUCUUUAUAUGAUUUAAUACAUUUCAUUAAAUUGAUUUUUUAUUUCAUUAUAAAUAUUAUGAAACCAUAUAGAAUUCAUCGUAUCAUACUCAUUGUCGAACGGUCACUGGCUAAACUCUAUUGUCUAUCUUUUAAUCGGUUUCCGAUAUUAUUUAAUUUAUAUAAAAGUAAGAAGAUGUGGAUAAGAUUCAUUGCUUUAUGUUUUUUUUCAUUUAUAGUAUGUGAUCAGAAAGUGUAUUUUAUAAAGUUUACUAUUUGAUCAAACUAAUAUCCUAUAAAUUGCAUCUAUUACACCUGUAUUGAAUUGAACUUGGAAUAAAUGUGUAUUCCUCAUAUGUUUAUAAAUUCGAAGUGUUUUAGAAUUUAGUCUUUUUGCCAUAACCAUAGGGUAUGAUAAAUAUACAAUAUUAGAUAUCAAAGUUACCAGGCUUAUAAUUUGAUACGUUAGACGCGCGUUUUAUUUGCAUAAUACUCAUUAGUGACGCUCAGUGCAAAAGCCAAACAAGUAUAUAGUUGAAGAGCAUUGAAGACCCAAUAUGUGAAAAUAGGAAUGUUCACUGCACAAGACAACAUACCAUAAUAUUAAAGAGAUUGAAGAAUUUUCAUUACUGUCAGAGAUUACUUAAUUUUCAAGUUUGCAUAUGUGGAUUUUUUUUUAACAUCAAAUAAUACGAAUUGGGCAAACAAGUACUAGUAUUGAGUUCAUCAGUUUAACAGAAUUAAAAUUAAAAUAUGUAAGUGUGUCUAGCAGAGAAUUAUGGUUGUAAUUUCAUCACAUACAUUAUCAAAAAUAAUAUAUAUGCAAAACACGUUAAAUGUGUUCAUCCUCCGUUUAUAUACUAGUAACUAACAAGUUGUCACAAGCACUCACUUGAAAGAAGAAUAAAAUCACAUGAAAAGUAUACUUAUUCAGGUUUGCAUAGUAAUAAAAUAAAUUAAUGACGCAUAGAAUGACAAGAAUGUUUACUUAGUCUUCACCUCGCAUGUUUUCACUACGAGCAUCGAAGGACUAAUCAAUAUAUCGAGGUGUACUUGUCCAACGUUGUCUUGCAGAUACGAAUCAAUUUGUCAAUUCGUCUGUAAUUCAGGUUCAAUCCACUAUUUUCUACAUUUGAAAAUGCCUGUACCAAGUCAGGAAUAUGACAUUCGUUUGAAGUGUUAUGUCAUUUGAUUUUGCCAUGUGAUUAGGGACUUUCCGAUUGAAUUUUCCUCGGGGUUCAGUAAUUUUGUGAUUUUACUUUUUUCAGUAGGAAACACUUGAACAUUUGUGCGGUGAUAUUUGAAGAAACAUCUGUUUCUCAAAGAAAAAAUCUAUUAUCAGAAAUAUUUUCAAAUGUAAAAAAUAAGGUACUGCUACUUUUCCCCAAUUUACUUGUCAUUAUUUCCUACGAAUUUAAAACUCAUACAAAAGGUUUGGUUUCCGUUUGUACUUUAGUACCGUUUAUAUUAUUUUUCAUAAUGUGUGAUCAAUAAAUAAGAGUAUACACAGUAUCGACGUACCCAGUCUCGCUCCUUUUGGAGUUCAUGCGGUUCCCUCAGUUUGUGGAUUUUGCUUGAUUUUUAUUCUUACUCGAUUUUUUAAAUGUAAUCAUUGGUUUAGUCCUUUUUUUCUCUGAUUGUUUUCUUAUUAAUAUUUUCACAUUCAUCCGAGAAUACAUGCAAAAUUAUCAUAUUGCACAAAAGCACUUCGGAUGCAUCAAAGUUAUGUAUUGUUACUUUCAUAUUGUAUCUCUAGGAGGUUUAUCAUGGGAAUUAAAUCCAGGAACCAUAAAGUGUCUACGGAAUAGUAUUCCGCAAAGAGAUGUGGUUGGUAAACAAACAACAUUAACAAACUGGAACAAACAUAAUUAAAUUAGUGUCUGUUGGUAAAAAAGUAAAUUGGCCUGCUUCGUAUUUUACAUGUUCUGCCUUUGUUAAGACACAUGCAAAAUAGUUUCGCGGUAAAUGAAUUUUGGAAAUAUACAUUUGAGGUAUAUUCAUGAAAAUAAUAACUUAAAAAUUCAAACAUUUGUUAUUUCAAUAUCGUUUAAUAUCAGUAGGGUUGUGGUGUGAAGUUUUAGAUUUUGCAAUUCAUGAUAUUUUUAUCGUCAAAUACGUUGACAUUUAUUAAUAACUUUGCCCCGGAUAUAUAACCGACGUCAUAAUGAAUAGUUUGAUACAACCUAAUCAAGUCAUCUUCAAGUUUUCUUGUGAAACAAAGAAAACUUUUGUUUGCAUCAUGAACAAUAUGCAAAUUCAUCCUGAUAAUCGGUGCAUAUUAGAUUAUACAUUUUAAAAACACGUGACAUACAUUUAAAACUUUCAUACGUUCAAGGAACUUUAAAUAACUUGUUAUCACAUAUCUUGUUGUAUGUGUACAACAAGAAAUUUAAUCAAUACAUUUUUGUUUCCAAAAAUGGAUGCUUUAAAAGAAGUAAGUAAUAUUGUUACAUGUUACAUAAUUAAUGCAAAUACUAAUUUGUGAUAAUUUUUACAAUUUUUAAAUGUAAAAUGUUCAAAUAAGGAAAUAAUCAAACUAGUAAAAUCUGGAUUUCUUGUAAAAAAAAAACUGUUUGAUAGAAAAACAAAAUUAUAAAAUGUUUUUAUUGAACGUUACACAGAGAAAAGACCAGACACCUGUUAUAAGUGGUAAUUGAUACUGUUUAAAAUACUGUCCCUUUAAGAAGUAUCAUGAUAGAAUACUACAGCAUUGCUACAAUAAAUAUUCUACUUUUUAUGUUUGUCUGUCUUGAUAUCUUUAGGUUACCGUUAAGUGUAGUGUAAAAUGAUGUGCACAACCAGUAUACAAAAAUCCAACAUUUUAAUCAGGACUGAAAAGGGUUUAAGUAGUUGUUUGAAGAGAAGAUGGCAUAGGAAGCGCACUUAGAAAGUCGAGCAUUGUUUUUUUCUUUUUUUAAACUGUUAAAUUACUGCUGUAAAACAAAUUUAUAAUAUUUUAAUUAAAUUAGUUUGAAUUUAAAUAUUUUUUAUUAACUUACACUCAAAUUUGUGCAGCUUGAAUAUCCAAUCUAAUAAGGUAAAAGAUUAACAGGUAUCAUGUUUAAUUACAUAUACUUCAAUAAAUUUCAACUGAACAGUUCUGUAUUUAAAUCAAACAUAGGUUGAACAUUCAUCAAACAAAGUUAACCUUCGAUAAUGUAUUAAAUGUAUAUAUUUAUCUGGGGUAACAAUAUAUAACUAUUAAUCCUGCUGUUUUAUCUUUUAAAAUGAUCAGAUUAUAUUGUAUUUGUGCAUGUCAUGUGAAAUGUCAUGCGAUUUAGAACACUUUGACAAUAUACACUUUUCCAACUUAUCUUGUUUCUUACGUAAUUCCUACCAUUUGCAGGUAUAAUUAUCACGGUGGGUAUGGUUGUCCUGCGAGAGAACGUACUGUGCUGGUGAUUUGGUCCUGACGGGUGCUGGUGAUCAAUGAAAAAAUGUAAACAAAGACGAAAACAAUGAUUUUUGACGUUUUCACUCAUAAAAAAUGGAAGAAAACGGUUGAGAUUUUUCAAUUUUGUUUCUUAUGGGUUCAUAUGUAAACCAUUAAAAAGUUGACCCUCUAAACUUUUUCAGUAAGCGUAACACAGAAAUGCUCAUUUUCAGAAAAUCUCGAACUGAAAAAAUAAAACAAAAAUGCUCAUAGAGUCCGCUUUCUAUACCGCAAUCCACGCGACAAAACUAUUUUGUGAAAAAACAUUGCAAUUUAAAUUAGUAUUAAAAUUUAGCAUUUUCUCAAUUUAUUCAUGUCCUGAUACUGUGCUGGUGGGUCCUGUCAUUGUGCUGGUGGGUCCUGAUACGGUGCUGGUGAUUUUGGAUAAGAAGUUGGUCAUAUUUGAAACAAAUGUUACAAAAUCAAUAAUAUUGGGCAGAUAAUUGUUGUCAAUAGGAUCUAUGACUCCUAUUUUAGCUCUUGUGCAUCCAUUUGGCUGUUUAAUAUGUGUUUUGAAAUGAUCGUAACUUGUAUUAAAUAAUUACAUAAAAGGGCAACAUCUUUCGUCCAAUAUCAGAUAACAAUAUAUAGUAUCUAAAAUAAGAAUAGUUUUAUUAAGAUAUUUUAAAUGCCCCUUACAUUGAUGCUUCAACAAUGAUCAAAGCCAAUGCCGCAUAGACAUGUUUGUUAGCGCUCCGCAUACCCCUCCCCACUUCCACCCAACCAACCCUCCUCAUUUCCUCCUUCAUUGUUACAGUGGUGUAUCAACACAACAAUUUAUUACAUAAAAUAAUAACACAAAGACACACAUUAUUGAAUAACGAAUGCUUGCAGGUACUGAAAGUUAGUUAGUUCAAGCUAGCAUUUUAGCAACAUUUUCAACUAAUAGAUAAACCAUGUUCUCAAAUACAAAAAUCCAAUCGUGUAGAUUAAAAAAGUCUCAAAACUUAAGUUCACAUUUUAAUGUUUGAUGAAGCAGAACUUUAAAAGUGUGCAGUGAAUCUUGUUCUCACAACAGUUAUUGUCAUAAUUAUGUUUACAUAAGACUCAUAAAGGAAUUAAGAAGGUACCAAGCAAUAUUUUACAGUUCAAUUUAAUGAUCAUGAAUGGAAGGAAAUGGUACGGAAGUUUACAUAGGACAAAAAGAAAUUGAUAGUAUUUUUUGGCGAAAGACUUAAACGCUUCCUUGCAUUAUAUAGUACAGCUCUUCUAUAAAAGCAUGCAAAAAAAAACUUUGAUUGACUUGCUUGCUAUGUUUGCUUGGAUGUUUUCAAACAAUAGGUAGGCGGAGUUUCAAUACAUACUGGGAUUUGAUUGGACAAAUACAAACUGACAGGAAUUGAAGUUAAUGUUUAUUUUCCAAACAAAUUGUAGUAUAUAGUAAACAGACUACUUACCUGUCGUUUACAAACAUCCAAACAAUCAUAGCAAGCAAUUUAAUCAAUGGUUUGCUUUGCAUAUAUUUAUAGAAGAGCUGUAAAUUCUAAAAAAAAAAGAAAUUUUGUUGUCGUAGAUGGUUAAAUCCUCAACAAAAUCACAAUAUCUUUGUUGGAACGAAUAAAGGUUUUAAAUCAAAUUUUCGUGGACUUUUUAGCUUCCACCCUGACGAGACAUGUUAGCUGUUCGUAUGCUGUUGCACCUGACGCACGGAAACUUUCACAUUUCCAUCUUCUUUUCUGAAAAUAUUUUACCCAGCUCAUACUUGACAGGACUGUUAUCCUAGUAAAAGGUGUAACCAAUGAAUUGAACACAAGUUAAAAAUUCCAAAAUACUAUAUAAUUCAUUUUAUGUGUCAAUUUGUUCGAAAAAAGUCGAAAAGAAGAGAGUUUUUUUUAAUGCCAUGAUUAUCUGCCGCUUUCUAGAUCUAUGCUUAGCAUUUAUUUCAGAUGACAUGGACUCCUCACCCUGGUGACCCUGCUGCCUUUCAUAACUUUAUCCGUAUACAUAUAUUAAUAGAUAAACAAAAGGCUGCAACUGGUAUUUGAUUCGUUGUAACGAGAAUAUUUGUGGUGAAUGGAAACUGUGAGGGUCAAAAUCUUAAAUUGCUUAUAAAUGUUGCUGGACCCAGUUUCGUUAUCUGAUCUGAAUUUUCUGAAAUGUGCAAGGUAGAUAGACAUUUUGAUUUUUUUUACUCGGUAAGUUUUGCCCUAAUUGCUUGAACAUUUGCAAUAUUAAAGCCGAUUUCAAUGAGUGUGUAGACAAAGGGAAUAUCUUUGGUUAUCUUGCUUGCUGAACAGAAAAGUCAUUGUUAGGUUAUGUAAACUACCCUACUUUAAGAGUAGACUAGUCCGACAAAUGACACAUCUUUCUGUCUGUAGGACCAGGCUAAUUCGAAAGGAGGGUAUAGACCUUACCUAACAAUGACUUCACGGUUUAGCUAACAAGCAAGCUAACCAAAGAUAUAACAUUUGCCUACAUACUCAAUGGAAUCGGCUGUAACUAAAAACUCGAAUACAUUUUAACAGACAGUGGUCUGGUUUGUUGAUGAAUAUUGUUUUUCCUAGAUUCACUCUUGAAAAAAUCAUUUGGUAACAUUUGGUCAUUGUAAUACGGACGCCAAGACAAUAAAUGAACCUCACACGAUCCCUCGACACAGUUGAGCUUAUAUAUGAUCUUAUAGCGAUUCGGGUUGAAAAUCAGUUGAAAUUAAGCCAGUUAUUUGUGUGUGUAGAUUUGUAUUGUUUUAAACUGUUAUGACUUUUUAAAGUUAAAUCUAGGUGUUUAAUCUAAGAAUUUCUUUUUUAAACUUAUUUACUUGUUUUAUACUCAAUUGGUAGUAUGAAGUUACGAGAUAUUUUAAUUUUUGAAAUUGAAGGCACAAUUAACAAAGCAAACGUUAGUUUCAAAUACUUUUAAAUAGAUUUUUAAGGAUAAUGUACCCUUGUGUUGAUCCCAUGCUAAACAUAACAAAAAUUCUCUGUACAAAGGUCUGUGAAUUUUCUACAAAAAUAGUGAUUUUAUUUUCACCAAAUUCUCUUUUUCUACUAAAUACAAUAAUGAACUAUAAAUAAUAAUGCUUUGCAAGAAGUUUCCCCUUGAUACAUGUAUAUGUACAAAAUUAUAUCUCUAUUAUCCCUUGAUACAUGUAUAUGUACAAAAUUAUAUCUCUAUUAUUCAUUGUCUGUGCUGUUUUGAUACUAUUGCAGUUUGCACAUUUUCGUAAUUGACAGGCCACAGGAGGGGGUGAUAAACCAUACACGAAAAUAUAAAAUAUUGAUCUAAGUACUUAAUUUGCAUCUCUGAACCCCACCCCGGCUUGUUUUUUAGGAGGGUGUCUAAAAAUGGUCGAUUACAGACAGCCGAGUACGCAUUUUACUUUCCAGGCGUGUUUACGUUGAUUGUUAAAGUCCUGAAAACGGAUAGAUAGAAACAAAAAUGUUUGAUUUAUCUGGCUUUAGAUUCAGUUUUUUUUAAAUAUAAAUUAAGUCUACAUUUUAAUAUAAUAAUACUAAGAAUUCACAAAUAUAAAAAAUGCAGAAAAAAAAUGGAGAUGUGAAAUAUCUUAAUAAGGAGUCAUUACUACAGAGAUGGUGUGUUUGACACACAAAACUUAAAAGCUUAGUGAUAUUACCAAUAUUAAAAUAAAAAGUGUAUUUUAGUUUGGUAGUUUUUCCAUUUACUCAUUUUCAAUCAUAAUUAAGGCACAUUUGAUUUUUAUUCAUAAAAAUAUUUAAAUAUAGAAAAGUAGGACACAUUGUUCACUUCCUCCCCUGUAAUUCUUUAUCAAAAAUAUUUAUUUAUUUUGGAAUUUUGAAAUGAAAAAGCUAAGAAAUCUUAGUUUUGUUAAUGUUCUCUAGGUUAUCUCGUCUUCAUUCUCUGACAUAUUCUCUGACAUAUUCUAGUCUGCCCUUUCAUAAAAUAGUGAUUUUUUUAGUGUUCUAUCGAACUUUCGAAAAAAAAUACCUGAUAACCGUUCAGACAAAAAAAAAUAUGUUGAAAAAAUCUUACAGAUACAGCAAGUGAUUCUUAAUAGCUGUAAGAUACAUUUUUCUUUUAAAAUACAACUUUUAAAUCUUACGGGAAACUAUUCCAAGCUUAACACUUUCACUGUAACCUCGCUCUAACUUAUCCCCCCCCCCAUCCCCCCAAAAAAAACCAAACAAACAAACCCGCAAUACUAUUGUCAUUCUUAUAGUCAGCACUCAAUUUUUCACAAACAAAUGUGUUUUAAGCUGCUAAAGACAUAUGAUUCAAACGCUCAGAAAGUCCUUUCUUCUAUAUUUUUGCUCUCCAUUUUUAUACAAAACCUUUUACAUUUUUAUUUUAUGGGUUAUUGUUGAAGGUCGUACAAUGACGUAUGGUUGUUAACACAUACUUUCUUUGGUUUCUUAUGGAAAUUUGUCCAUUGACAACAAACAUACAACAUCAUCUACUUUAUAUAAGUAUUGUAUAAAUUACAACGUAUUUUGGCGAUCUUGCAAAAUGAUCGUAAUCCCGAAAAUCGUAAACAUAUUUUCUUAUCUUAAAAGGGGGCAAGAAGGGUUCCAUUAACAGGCCAAUAAAUAAAAUCACAGUUAAUUUUAAAAAGAAUAAAAAAUAGGGUUUUUUUUUCUCUCAUAAUAACAGUAAACAGAUUCAUAACAAUGUCAAUUUCAAGAAAGCAGACAACAGUUAAUUACUAGUAGUCAAUAACAGUACAGCAUCAAUGAUCUUGAAUAUUUGCCACUUUUAACUAAAAUAUAAAGGCACAGAACCAGGACAUAGGAGCACAGAACCAGGACCGUUUUUCUUAUCACCAGCACAUCGUCAGGACAAUUCCGUUUAACGAACUUGCACGACUUUUGCAAUUUUAUAUUGUUGAAAUAUACUUUGCAUGGUACUUAUGACGCAUCAGAGAAAAAUUAAGCAACAAAACAGUCGUUUUAUUGCCGUUCUGAUACAAUGUAAACAAACCCACCAGCACAGAAUCAGGACCCACCAGCACCCGUCAGGACCAAAUCACCAGCACAGUUCUCGCAGGACAUACCACCGUGAUUAUCAUUACUGAUUUCUUAUCGUCUAUCAGAGUGGCUAAACGGUUUAAAAUGGGACAAAUAAAAUAGUUUAGACUUAUAUUAUUAAGAUAUGCUAUUGCUUAUAUAAAAAUAUUUUAAAGUAUCUGUUGAACUUUUAUAAUUUAAUAUGAACCGCGAUUCUCACUCUUUUUUCACUUCCCUAAAUAUUGUAAUAAUAUACAGCUUUCAAUAAACAAAAAAUCUUGAUUUACGUGUGUAAGUUUUACGGCUUCUUAGAUUAAAAAUCUAAACAUGUCUACUAGUUUGGGUAAAUCUUUAUUACUAAGCAAUGCAGAACGUACGAAGAUGCUCUCUUCUCAGUCAGACGAAACUAUAGUUUACAACUUGUCAAAGCUCCUGAAAGCGACGGCCAUUUCAUCCAAAACAAAUUAUAGAUAGAACUGCAAAAGCUACCCUUGUAGACUACUAUACGGAGAAUACGAAACUUCCAUCCACCCCCUUUCCAUGCAAGAAAAACUUAUAUAAUAUAAUAUGAUACAUGCAUAUUUUCCAACGAGGUAUGCAUACUUUCCAUUUGAUGUGGUCAUAAUUGUACUCUCAUAUCAAAAUUUAUAUAAUGUCUUAGAACUCCGUGUUACAUGUAAAGUGAAAUUAAACAUGUUAUAGCACAUUUGUGUACCUUUUAUAUCGUCGCGGCUUUUCACUCACAUAUGUGCUGUGUCGUUGUCGAAGUUAAAAUAAGAGGUUUUGUGGUUAGGUUCACUGCAUUUGGAAAAGCUAUUGGCGAAUUCCAGAUAAGAAGAAAAAAGUUCAAUGGCAGUUCAUUUCAUUAUAUUUUGUUAAAGAAAAAUCAGCUAAAACAGAGGUCCAUGAACACCUGUUUAUAGUAAAUAACUUAGCAAAUCAACAAUGUAAAACAAUCUCUGUUUUAUCAGCGUAUUUAUACGACUUUAAUAUCAAUCAGCGUAUUUAUAUUUUCUAGAUUCCAUCAUGGUGUUGGUCUGUUAAGCUGGAAGACAAGGCUCAGCAUUUAAUUGAUUUGAAAAUAAGCUGUCCUAUCUGUUUUCUGUUUGAUGUUGUGUUUAUCGUAUUGGUGGAUACAUCGGAUUUUUCAUCAACUAACAUGUUUAUCAACUCUCAUUGUGGUGAAAUUACUAUAUCAUUAAACAGCAGUUUUAAUCCAACAAAAACCUUCAUUCUGUAUGUAUACGGACUCAAAACAAUCAUUUCUAGUACCGGUCAAUAUGAUUCGGUGGUAUGUUAUGGAAAUAAAGAAAUUGAAUGUAAGUCUGUUUUCAGCCUCGUGUUUAACUUUUGGUGUAAAAAAACAAGUAAUAUCUUUUCAACAUUCUUUUCAGAUAAGUAAUAGCCUCCACACAUACUCAAAUCUAUUUUAUCUAUUUAUAUAAAUUUUUAGUUUGCGCAAAAAAGUUAUUAUCCAAUUUGAAAUACACAACUAGUAAGAAUUUGAUAUAUAAUGUUAUUAUUUAAUUGUGUCGUGCUUUGAACAAUUUAAAUAUACUUCAUCGUUUUAAAGUGCACCCUCCUUAGUUAGACCAAGAUGUUUAACUUUUUUUUAUACUUCAAUUGUAUUUAAAACCGUAAAAUCUCUUAAUCGAUUGAUGAAUAACGAUAUACUGCUGUUGCCUUUAUUUUGACAAAAACGAAAAUAAACAAAAAAGAUUGCAUGAUACAAACUUUAUUCAUUGAUGUCUUUUAAAGGUAAAGAAGAGAUUCAAACAAACGUGCUUUUGAAAGAAAUUAAAGAAGACAUACACUUGCCUUUGUUGUCCACAGUAACCCAGGUGAUUUUAUAAGCAGACAUUGAACUUGUAUCCUACUUCUAAAACAGCUAUUGAAAAUAAUAUGGCCAAAUACAGGGUUUUGUUAUCUGUCAAUUCAGAAAGAGUUAAAUUGAAAUCUCGUUUAUCUAGAUCGUAUUUGUUUUAGAGUUUGUGCUUUUAUCGGGUUGAUUGUUUAUUCUUUUUGGGUUAUAUCGCUUGGGCUUUUAUUUUAGGAUUUUUUUUCCUGCACAUUGAUUGAUUAAUGUAAAUAACAAAAGGGGAAACAUAUAGUACGGCAGCUUAGUGAAAAAUUGUGCACAUCCUGCUACAAGCAUAAAAUUUGGCAUAGACCUUCCUCAACUAUUACUCUUUUAUUUCUUGGUCUAUAGUCUUUUCAAGCAUGUAAAACGUGCAAUAUACUUAUGCAGGUGUUUAGGGGACGAGCUUGGGAUUGGCUCUCAUGCUACCCAGUCCAGGCGAUAAUGGAUGGCGAAAUGACAAAGAUGAUCCCUUUAAAAAAAAACUCUUUCUGAGGCCUCAUCAUUUUGUCAGAAGCUUGUACAUGGUGGAUGUAAGAAAGGAUGCCGAGGUCAUUGUUAAUGUGGAAAAUCGGGUCUCCCGUGCACUGUCUUGUAUGCAUGUAGUGGUGACUGUGAAUAAACAUGUAUUUCUGGCCAAAUAGUAGUAAUUUUAAAAAUGUUUUAGUACUAUAGUGAUUUUUUUUAAUCAAUCUAUCCAAAACUCUACAUCGAAGAAAUGGAUUGUGGACUCAUCUUUGAAAAGAGGAACGAAAGAUACCAAAGGGACAGUCAAACUCAUAAAUCUAAAACAAACUGACAACGCCAUGGCUAAAAAUGAAAAAGACAAACAGAAAAACAAUAGUACACAUGACACAACAUAAAAAACUAAAGAAUAAACAACACGAACCCCACCAAAAACUAGGGGUGAACUCAGGUGCUCCGGAAGGGUAAGCAGAUCCUGCUCCAUAUGUGGCACCCGUCGUGUUGCUUAUGUGAUUACAAAUCCGGUAAAUAGUCUAAUUCGGUAGGUCACAUUCAUGAAAGGGAAGGGGAUUGUAGUUACGACGUAAAGAACAUAUCUUUUGAAAUUUACGCCAUAUUUUUACCGUAAGUGUCAACUUUGUAUUUAAACAUUUACAACAUGAUAGAAUUAGCGGUUUUAGUGAUAUAAUUUAAAGCCAAAAAUUUAAUGACCAGCACAAAAAACUAAAAUUUCUUUACAUUUUGAAAAAAGUUGAAUAUUUGAAUAAUACAUUGAUAGUUCUAUGUCCGCCAUUUUGGAUAUAACCGGAAGUAAGGGUUUUUAAGACAUAUGUCUUAUACAUUGUAUCUAUCAGAAGCACCAUAGAAAGGUUCCUGCACAAUGUAGCAAUAUGUUAAAACACAUUUCAAUUACCCUCCCUAAAAAAAUAAGCUUAUUUAAGUAUAAUGUCCGCCAUGUUGGAUUUUACCGGAAGUAGGGUUUUUGAAGACAUCUAAUCUAUAUAAUAUAUCCAAAAGUAGUACAUAACAAAGUUUUGUACCAAAUAUUAUGCUAGUAGCCUGCUAAUAACACCUUUUUCACAUACUAGCCUUCGAUAUUAGGCUGAUUCAAGUAUGAUGUCCGCCAUCUUGGAUUUUACCGGAAGUGAGACAUUUUUUUUCAAAUGCCUCCCUAUCUGAAAUAAAAGAGUAAUAAGUUGAGGAAGGUCUUUGCAAAAUUUCAUGAUUGUAGCAGGAUGUGCACAAUUCGUCUAAAUUAUGCUUGUAGCCGCCGGACUAAUAUGACUGAUUGAUGAUUUGUUCAUUGUUGCUUGCUCAAAGAUAGCUAGCCCAGUUGCAAUAAUUUAAUGCACUAAGACGAAAACAAUUUAACUAACAAUAAUAAAGUAGGUAGAUUUUGCAAGUGGGACAACCAGUAUUGAGAAUAUGAAAUAAGUAGGGGUAAUUUCCUCUGAAAAAAAUCUGACAAGUCUUUAUGAAGAAUGUUAUCAUUUGAACGAAUGAAAAAAAAAAUCAUUAUUGAAGUAAAAAAUUUACACAUGAAAAAAACAAAUUGACAAAAAAUCAUAAUAUAGAAAAUAAAGAGCUCCUUCAUGCAGUAGAACAGAAGUGGACGAAAACGUAGGGUGUCAUGUUGAUUAUAAAUUACCAAUUGAGAGACAUUUCUAUGUUGAUUUGUUAAUGAGAAUAACCAUAUAUAUUUUGUUUGAUUUUAGGGUACAUUGCCAUUAACUGUCCAUCGCCAACCACCGUCGCUUUACAGGUUAGAUGUUAAUACUAUCUUUACAGAUGAAAAACAUUUUAUCGUCUUUGUCAAAGUAAAGAAUCAGCUCCGCUGUUACAAUGUCAGUGGUCGGUGUCUAAACAAGCCGUUUCCUUUUGAGUUGCCAUCUGCAUCAUCAGUUCAAUGUAAGGUUUUGUGUGCAUGUCGACAGCAGCGGAUGAAUGGAAGAUUUUUUGUUACGACUACUGUAUCGCAUAGCCAUGUGAUCAGUUUUAAAACGUGUAAGUAAUUCUACGCUGUAUUGAAAAUAAUUAAAAGCAAAGACAACCGACAACAAACGAAUAAAAAGACUAAAUACGAAAAGAAAAAAAUUCGAUAUAGUAAUAACACGGAAUUGGAACUAUUCUUUUAAUAAUAAAAACACAAAUAAACAAAAGUUCGGGCUUUUUUUUAGUAAUGAGAUCGUGCGUAUUUGUUAUUAAAAAAAGCAAACAUAAAUACUUAUCUCCUCUAACUGGUAAAAUUUUCAUCAAGAAUGUAAAAAAAAAAAAAGGUUUUAGGACAAUUCUGUAUUAAAAACUGUUCAUUAUUAUCUCAAAUGAAAUGAUUUGAAGAAAAAAAGUAUCGGGUACAAUUUGUUAGUUGAUCGUUUUGCAAACUAUUAUUUCAGUAAUCCAAUUUCAGCAAAACAUUUUUUUAUUUUCAGUUUUGUCUCAUGUGGAUACAUACCGAUUAUAUAAUCUAGCUAUAGCAUUCGGAACAAGAAAAGUCUACCCGAACAUGCGACCUAUUCAGUAUUUCUAUAGGAAUAAAUCAGUGGAAUAUUUUCAAAUUAUACUAAAUUCAAACUAUCUAAAAGGGGAAAUGCGACCAUAUUUGAAAAGUAAUGGUGGAGAACAGGGUUCCGUGGUGAAUGGUCGGUUACCUGGUUUAUUUUUCAGUACAUAUAUUGAUAUAACGACGAACAUGCCAAAUCCACGUUCUCACUAUGGACCAAUAAGAUUGUAUUAUAAAGCUUUUGUGAUGUUUAAUCAUCAGUGUAAUUUGUAUUUUGCCGAUUUUUAUUGUCAUUAUAAACGACAUCAUGUGACAAUUAUACUGGUACCAAAACUAUCAACGCAUAACAAUUUUUGUCGACAAUAUUUGACAGAAUUAAACAUUUUUCAUAAUCCAUAUUUGUGUUUGAGAGUAGAAUUGAACGGUACAUUCACUGUUCUGGCAAAUAUGGAUGUCACUGUUGAAGUGUUUUAUACUGAAAUCAUUAAUGUGAAGAGAGCUUUAGAGUUGAAGUAUGGAUUUCUAGAAGAAACACCAACUAUUGGGAAAGGGUUUGCUAAGCCUUCUGGUACUCCUAAAAACCCUGAUUGUAACAUAUGUAACUUAAAAUAGUCAUAUAAUUUUAGGUUUAGGUUGUGCGUACGCUUGAAUAUCUGUAAAUCGGUUUGCUUAAGUUAUGGGCAUGUAACCAAUUAAAAUAUUACAGCACUUUGCAUAAUGUUAGCAAGACAAAGGUUUGGUUGACUUGCUUGCUUUGUUUGAAUAAAUGUUUGCUCAAGCAUUGUAAUUAGUUCGUUCAACUACUUAAAAAGAAAAAACGGAUGUGUUAUACUCAAUAUUUUUUUUCUUUAUACAUGUUGUAUAUUCAAAAUCUGAUUUAAAUUCAGACAUUUUCUGAAAUAAAUACUGCGUAUAGGUUUAAAUUACAUACAAUUUUACACGUGUUAGGAAAAUAAAUAAAUUCCUUAAUGUACUCUUGUGUCUUUAUAUGAUUUUAUACAUUUCAUUUUCAUUGAUUUUUUUU
rnacentral:lncRNA from 1 species